UAAAAAAAAUUUUUAACUCAUUUGAAGAAGGAGGAAGUAAAGGCACAGGAAGUCAGAUAGCUUGCUCUUGGUCCCAGCGAGGUAAAGCGGUCCGCGAGAGCCCAAGUCCUUCACCCCAAAGGUCCCCAGACGACAAGGGGACAGUGCAGACGACACAACCAAGAGUAAAACACCUGUGUAGACACAGAAGGAUUUAAGAACAGGGAGGUGUAAAGGAAGAGAAAGAAGUUCCAGAAGAUCUAAAUCAAAAGGCUGAGAAAAACAUGAAAUGUCUCUUCUCACCACGCAACAUGCCCUGCUCCUGGCUGAUGACAAUUAACGCUGA